rnacentral:rRNA from 1 species
CCUANGGGAGGCAGCAGUGGGGAAUCUUGCACAAUGGGCGAAAGCCUGAUGCAGCGACGCCGCGUGCGGGAUGACGGCCCUCGGGUUGUAAACCGCUUUCAGCAGGGACGAAAUUGACGGUACCUGCAGAAGAAGCCCCGGCCAACUACGUGCCAGCAGCCGCGGUAAUACGUAGGGGGCGAGCGUUGUCCGGAUUUAUUGGGCGUAAAGAGCUCGUAGGCGGUUCGGUAAGCCGGAUGUGAAAUCUCCACGCUCAACGUGGAGGGGCCAUUCGGAACUGCUGUGACUAGAGUCCGGUAGAGGAGUGUGGAAUUCCCGGUGUAGCGGUGAAAUGCGCAGAGAUCGGGAGGAACACCCGUAGCGAAGGCGGCACUCUGGGCCGUGACUGACGCUGAGGAGCGAAAGCGUGGGGAGCAAACAGGAUUAGAUACCCUANUANUC